UGGGGAAUAUUGGACAAUGGGCGAAAGCCUGAUCCAGCCAUGCCGCGUGUGUGAAGAAGGUCUUCGGAUUGUAAAGCACUUUAAGUUGGGAGGAAGGGCAGUUACCUAAUACGCAUCUGUUUUGACGUUACCGACAGAAUAAGCACCGGCUAACUCUGUGCCAGCAGCCGCGGUAAUACAGAGGGUGCAAGCGUUAAUCGGAAUUACUGGGCGUAAAGCGCGCGUAGGUGGUUUGUUAAGUUGGAUGUGAAAUCCCCGGGCUCAACCUGGGAACUGCAUUCAAAACUGACAAGCUAGAGUAUGGUAGAGGGUGGUGGAAUUUCCUGUGUAGCGGUGAAAUGCGUAGAUAUAGGAAGGAACACCAGUGGCGAAGGCGACCACCUGGACUGAUACUGACACUGAGGUGCGAAAGCGUGGGGAGCAAACAGGAUUAGAUACCCCGGUAGUCUGAGCGGGCUGGCAAGGCG
rnacentral:rRNA from 1 species